CCUACGGGAGGCAGCAGUGAGGAAUAUUGGUCAAUGGACGCAAGUCUGAACCAGCCAUUCCGCGUGCAGGAAGACGGCUCUAUGAGUUGUAAACUGCUUUUUUACGAGCGUAAACGCAGAUACGUGUAUCUGUCUGCAAGUAUCGUACGAUUAAGGAUCGGCUAACUCCGUGCCAGCAGCCGCGGUAAUACGGAGGAUUCAAGCGUUAUCCGGAUUUAUUGGGUUUAAAGGGUGCGUAGGCGGUCGGAUAAGUUAGAGGUGAAAUCCCGAGGCUCAACUUCGGAAUUGCCUCUGAUACUGUUCGGCUAGAGAGUAGUUGCGGUAGGCGGAAUGUAUGGUGUAGCGGUGAAAUGCUUAGAGAUCAUACAGAACACCGAUUGCGAAGGCAGCUUACCAAGCUACUUCUGACGUUGAGGCACGAAAGCGUGGGGAGCAAACAGGAUUAGAUACCCGAGUAGUC
rnacentral:rRNA from 1 species